GCCUCAGUGGUGUUAGUGGUAGAGCACGCGUCCCCGGAUAGGAUGAAAUGUGGGUUCGAUUCCCGUCUGAGGUC